rnacentral:lncRNA from 1 species
UAUAUCUCAGAAAUUGUGGGGCCAGGGAGCAGGGCAGGGGGAGGGGUGGAGCAGGCGCUGAGCAAGAGUGGGGUGGAGGUAUGUCCAAACCCCAGAAAUCUCUUCCUGAGAUCAGCAGGCGUAGGAUUGCUCCCUGCUUCCUGCCCCCACCUUUCCACCAUUAGAGGAUGUCACGUAGCCCAGUAGCCAGGGUAACUGCCUCUCUCUGGUCAUGUCCAGCAGCACCUGAUAUUCCUCCUUAUACAAAUGAGACAUCCCCAUGUACCCCUGGCCCUGGCCAAUGAUGUGCACUCACCCAAAUAGCCCCUACUCUCACCCAGAAAAUACAGAUCACCUUCGUCCCCGCCAUUGAAACGAGCUGUCUCUCUGAAGCUACCUCCCAAUACCUUGCUUCCUCUCCCAGGGUCCGUCCACCAGUUGAUCACAAUGCUGCUACAGGUGGGGAAGUGGAGCCUGUACAACAGGGAACGGUGACCGAAAGCCAGGUGUCCUGUAGUCCAGUCUUUAAUGGGAGGGCCUAUUGCCUUUAUCUCCCGAAUCUAGCACAAUCUUGCCUCACACUUGGCUGGGUCAACGGUCAAAGAUGAUAACAAAUCAUCAGGUGGCUGGGAGGCAACAGAGGGGACCAAGAUGACUGACAGAUGCCUAAGAUGAGCGUCCCGUCUGCUAUGUGAGACUUACUCAAUGGAUACACCCUGGAAACAUCACAUGAAACUUAAAGAUAUGGGCAAUUCUUGCGUGUCGGUUGCAGGAAGAAACAAUCUUAGACAUAAAUUGGAUGGAAAAUAACACUAGAGAAAUGUGCCUCCCUUUGUCUUCAGCCCCACUAGACAUCUUGAUGUUCUUUGACCUGUCCAGAUAAGACUGACUACAGGCAAGAUCUGCCCAGAGAUGGAUGAGCCUUCAAUUGAUGAGGGAGAGCUCUUGAGACCCCAGCUCUCUCUGAGGAGCUGUAGGUAGUUCAGAGUGGCUAGGGAGGAGAUGCGAUUUAGUGAUAUGGAAGUGGCCUGUGUUUCUGUAAAUAUGCUCAUGUUAGCAACUCUAGUUAAAUUCAUUGGGUCUCAGUCUCUGUCUCUCUCACACACACACAUGUACAGACACACAUAUGUAUACUCACAGACAGACAUGAAAGUUGAAAAGGGGGUAAUUGGGAAGAUCAAGAAUGGGAGGGGAGUACAUGAGAGCAAAAGUGCACAUGAUCAAAAUACACUAUAUAUAUGAACAUGAAUCAUAAUGUAUCAUAAUGAAACCCAUUAUUAUACAUAAUUAACAAAUUCUAAUAAAAUAAUACAAACCACACAUUGGGAAAGCUGGGUUUGUCUUUGUCAUGACCUUGAAUAGGGGUCACCUUUUCCUACUAAGUAGCUAAUUUUGAGCUUAGGUUUGGCUGAAUAUGGCAAAGUAGGUGGUCUUAAAGCCUUCACUGUAGAGCCCACAGGACUGAAUGACUUGUGGCUAGUGGGUCACAUCCACACUGAAGAGGAAAAUGGAUGCUGAGCAGGGCCUCCCUAGAGCUAUCUGGAAAGGCCUCUGCCAAGGCCUCACACUGCAAAAGGCUGUCUGUCUCUCUUUCUGUCUCUCUCUCUCUCUCUUUCUGUCUGUCUGUCUGUCUCUGUAUUUGUCUUUCUCUCCCUCUCUCCUCCAUUUGUUAGGGGAUGCCGGCUGCCUCUCAGGAUCCAGCCUUCAGUUUGGCAGCUGAGCAUCUACACUCGAGCCUACUAUUACCAUCGGGGCCUGGGGGUCGGGGAGGGGGAAUGCCUUCCCACAUCUUGCCCAAUGUUCUCAAAAAGAAGAUGAACGCAUCUGAUGCUGCAAAGAUUUGUGGAUGGCGCUGCUGCUCGGAAGCAUGUAGAGGAUUUGAGCCGCCAAAGCACUUAGGUAAGACAAAAGACUAAUUAAAUCAUGAAGCCUUCCUCUCAGCGUGAGAGUGGGAGUUGAUUCUGUAAAAAAUCCCGGCACCUUUUUCUUUCAAAAGGACAAUGCCUCCACUUCCUCCCUGUCAUGGCUCCACAUCUGCUCAUGAAUCAGUGUUGCUCUCCCUGCAGUCACACGCGGACACUGAAGAACAUUUUGAAAUAGCGACAGCAACCCAUUCUCAAGCCACCGCUCCAUCGACAGAACACCUAGAUGUGUUCAGUAGCAAUUAAGUGCAGUCUAGUUUGAUAUUUUGCUGACUUAUGGUUACAGAAGAUCCAAGGGCUUCACAUCCAUUAAAGGCAUUGAUAGUCAUGAGAUGUUUUCAAGGCAGAAUAGAAAUACUAUACUUGACCAUUCACUAGCUUUAUGUGCAGUGUUAAGAUAUUGAAUAUGUGAUCUAGACGUUUUUAUCUGUGCUCCUGCCCCGCAGCCCAGCAAAUAUUAGGGUUGUGAGGAUGGGAGUUGGCACACUUAGAAAACACUUUCCACAUAAGCACAAGAACUGGAGUGUGAGCCUCAAACCAAAACAACCUUCAAACCAAAACCCAAUAAAAAGCUGUCCCACUGGUACACAUCUAGGACCCCAGUGCUGGGCAGAUGGAAUCAGAAGGACCCUUGGAGCCUGCUGGCCAGCGAGGCUAGACAGAGAGAGAGAGCCUCGGGGUCAGUGAGAGACCCUGUCUCAGAAAUAUGGUGGAAAGAGAGCGAGGAAGACACCUGUGGUUGACCUCUGGUUUAUGCAUAUACAUGCACACAUCAUGCACAGAAACACCCACAUACACCUGCACGUGUGCAAAUACAUGUAUCCAACAUACCCACACGUGAAACAGCACAUUGUUGUAGUGGCCUUGCAAAAAAUUAGCUUCCUCUGAACAGUGCAUCAUAGAGAAAGAGUAGUUGCAAGUGCGGUGCUUCCGAGCACCGUCAGGCUGUGCAGAUGGAACCGAGUGAAGGAUGACGAUGACAGUCUGUCCAGCCUUACAUCCCAGUUCUUACCUGAGGAGCUCGAGGAAGUUAUACAGAAAAACAGUGGGCCAGUGGACAAUGGCGUGUGGUCCCCUAAGCAUGCUGCCUUUAUUUUUGUUUUGAGUCAGGGUUGCACGAUGUUACCCUGGCUGGCCUGGAACUCACAGAAAUCCUCCUGCCUAUGUCUCCCAAGUAUUGGGGUUAAGAGCAUGAGCCACCACACCCAGCAUUGUGCUUUGACUUUAUAAAGCCUGACAGUUCAUGAGUCUCCCUCACAAAUUGCCUGCGUCUGGAGCCUGUUGCUGUGUGUUUAAAUGUAUUUUUCUUCUCCCAGAAUGGAUGCAAACUAACUUAGUUGGCAGGCAUUUUUUGUCACCCUUUAAGGACCAUUUCUAUCUUGAACAACGAUGGCGGCAACAGCAGUAAUGUCAGCUGGCUGUGGAGGAGUGCUUUGCAGUGUUCAGCAACUCAUAUGUAUGUUAGCACCUGUUAAUAAGCCGGGAAGUAGGAGCGGUAGCUUCUGUCACGUUGAUAGAUUAAGCUGCAGAGGUGGUGGGGGUGUGGUAGGGUCUGCAUCUCUGGUUUUUAUAUUCCAUUAGAAAACUAAAGCCAGGCAUUAAUUUCCAUUUGAGUUCUACAUUUCCAAAUAUUUUAAAUUGUUUUCUUUCCAUGGAAAUGAAAAUAUAACCAUAACUGUCAUCUUCAGAGAAUAUUUAUGUCACGGAGUUGUGCUUCUCAUUCUGGCAAACAAGCAGAUCACGCUAUAGGAAAAGCAGAAUUUGAUGAAUAGAGUAGCUAAGGUUCCAAGUUUUUAAAAUCUCUCUCCUCUCUCCUCUCUCCUCUCUCUCUCUCUCUCUCUCUCUCUCUCUCUCUCUCUCUCUCUCUCUCUCUCUCUGUGUGUGUGUGUGUGUGUGUGUGUGUAUGGAGAUCCGAGGAGUCUGGUCUUUGCCUUCUGUGCUGUUAAGACUCUAUUUCCGCUUUGCUGGUCUAUAAUAUUCUGGAUAUUUUCCCUUCUCCACCCGCCACCUCGCCGUGGGAAUGCUGAGAUCACGGAUAUGUGCUGCAGUAUCUGGCUUUAAGUAAAUCCAGUCCCCAUGCUUGUACAGCAAAUACUUUACCUACCAAGCCAUCUCUGUUGCC